GCAGACAAUGAAACUCGACCUUCAACAUUGAGGCAGGCAGUCAUAGAAGAAGGUGACCUGCCUGCCCUGAUGGAAACAGACAACGAUGAGAUGACACCCCAGUGUCCUCUGCCUCCCACCACCCCAACCUCCGACAACUCAGCCUAGCACACCAUCAUCAGUGUCCUCACUGUCUUCCCGAUUCUGUGCUUGUCGAGACUUGGACAGACCACAACAACACUUCGCUGCCUGUUUGCUUUCAGCCUUCCCUGAGAAACUGGACUUUUGAGUCAACUGACUUCGAAGACUAGUGGUAUUCGUUUAAUGCUUAGAUGUUCUUUUCAGCCACAGUAUAGGCUUUGUUUCCCAUUUGAGAGUUUUAGCUUACAACCUAUUUGGCCUAGCAUUUAUUGUUUAUUUUCCCUUUAACACUGUUCAUAAUAAAGUUUUGUGAACUAUCAA